rnacentral:rRNA from 1 species
GGUUAAGCGACUAAGCGUACACGGUGGAUGCCCUGGCAGUCAGAGGCGAUGAAGGACGUGCUAAUCUGCGAAAAGCGUCGGUAAGGUGAUAUGAACCGUUACAGCCGGCGAUGUCCGAAUGGGGAAACCCAGUGCAAUUCGUUGCACUAUCGUUAACUGAAUACAUAGGUUAACGAGGCGAACCGGGGGAACUGAAACAUCUAAGUACCCCGAGGAAAAAAAAUCAACCGAGAUUCCCCCAGUAGCGGCGAGCGAACGGGGAGCAGCCCAGAGUCUGAAUCAGCUUGUGUGUUAGUGGAACGGUCUGGAAAGUCCGACGGUACAGGGUGAUAGUCCCGUACACCAAAAUGCACAGGCUGUGAACUCGAAGAGUAGGGCGGGACACGUGGUAUCCUGUCUGAAUAUGGGGGGACCAUCCUCCAAGGCUAAAUACUCCUGACUGACCGAUAGUGAACCAGUACCGUGAGGGAAAGGCGAAAAGAACCCCGGCGAGGGGAGUGAAAAAGAACCUGAAACCGUGUACGUACAAGCAGUGGGAGCACCUUCGGGUGUGACUGCGUACCUUUUGUAUAAUGGGUCAGCGACUUAUAUUCUGUAGCAAGGUUAACCGUAUAGGGGAGCCGCAGGGAAACCGAGUCUUAACUGGGCGUUAAGUUGCAGGGUAUAGACCCGAAACCCGGUGAUCUAGCCAUGGGCAGGUUGAAGGUUGGGUAACACUAACUGGAGGACCGAACCGACUAAUGUUGAAAAAUUAGCGGAUGACUUGUGGCUGGGGGUGAAAGGCCAAUCAAACCGGGAGAUAGCUGGUUCUCCCCGAAAGCUAUUUAGGUAGCGCCUCGUGAAUUCAUCUUCGGGGGUAGAGCACUGUUUCGGCUAGGGGGUCAUCCCGACUUACCAACCCGAUGCAAACUACGAAUACCGAAGAAUGUUAUCACGGGAGACACACGGCGGGUGCUAACGUCCGUCGUGAAGAGGGAAACAACCCAGACCGCCAGCUAAGGUCCCAAAGUCAUGGUUAAGUGGGAAACGAUGUGGGAAGGCACAGACAGCCAGGAUGUUGGCUUAGAAGCAGCCAUCAUUUAAAGAAAGCGUAAUAGCUCACUGGUCGAGUCGGCCUGCGCGGAAGAUGUAACGGGGCUAAACCAUGCACCGAAGCUGCGGCAGCGACACUAUGUGUUGUUGGGUAGGGGAGCGUUCUGUAAGCCUGCGAAGGUGACCUGUGAGGGUUGCUGGAGGUAUCAGAAGUGCGAAUGCUGACAUAAGUAACGAUAAAGCGGGUGAAAAGCCCGCUCGCCGGAAGACCAAGGGUUCCUGUCCAACGUUAAUCGGGGCAGGGUGAGUCGACCCCUAAGGCGAGGCCGAAAGGCGUAGUCGAUGGGAAACAGGUUAAUAUUCCUGUACUUGGUGUUACUGCGAAGGGGGACGGAGAAGGCUAUGUUAGCCGGGCGACGGUUGUCCCGGUUUAAGCAUGUAGGCUGGUUAUCCAGGCAAAUCCGGAUAAUCAAGGCUGAGGUGUGAUGACGAGGCACUACGGUGCUGAAGUAACAAAUGCCCUGCUUCCAGGAAAAGCCUCUAAGCAUCAGGUAACAUCAAAUCGUACCCCAAACCGACACAGGUGGUCAGGUAGAGAAUACCAAGGCGCUUGAGAGAACUCGGGUGAAGGAACUAGGCAAAAUGGUGCCGUAACUUCGGGAGAAGGCACGCUGGUGUGUAGGUGAAGUCCCUGCGGAUGGAGCUGAGACCAGUCGAAGAUACCAGCUGGCUGCAACUGUUUAUUAAAAACACAGCACUGUGCAAACACGAAAGUGGACGUAUACGGUGUGACGCCUGCCCGGUGCCGGAAGGUUAAUUGAUGGGGUUAUCCGUAAGGAGAAGCUCUUGAUCGAAGCCCCGGUAAACGGCGGCCGUAACUAUAACGGUCCUAAGGUAGCGAAAUUCCUUGUCGGGUAAGUUCCGACCUGCACGAAUGGCGUAAUGAUGGCCAGGCUGUCUCCACCCGAGACUCAGUGAAAUUGAACUCGCUGUGAAGAUGCAGUGUACCCGCGGCAAGACGGAAAGACCCCGUGAACCUUUACUAUAGCUUGACACUGAACAUUGAGCCUUGAUGUGUAGGAUAGGUGGGAGGCUUUGAAGCGUGGACGCCAGUCUGCGUGGAGCCAACCUUGAAAUACCACCCUUUAAUGUUUGAUGUUCUAACGUUGGCCCCUGACCGGGGUUGCGGACAGUGUCUGGUGGGUAGUUUGACUGGGGCGGUCUCCUCCCAAAGCGUAACGGAGGAGCACGAAGGUUAGCUAAUCCUGGUCGGACAUCAGGAGGUUAGUGCAAUGGCAUAAGCUAGCUUGACUGCGAGCGUGACGGCGCGAGCAGGUGCGAAAGCAGGUCAUAGUGAUCCGGUGGUUCUGAAUGGAAGGGCCAUCGCUCAACGGAUAAAAGGUACUCCGGGGAUAACAGGCUGAUACCGCCCAAGAGUUCAUAUCGACGGCGGUGUUUGGCACCUCGAUGUCGGCUCAUCACAUCCUGGGGCUGAAGUAGGUCCCAAGGGUAUGGCUGUUCGCCAUUUAAAGUGGUACGCGAGCUGGGUUUAGAACGUCGUGAGACAGUUCGGUCCCUAUCUGCCGUGGGCGCUGGAGAAUUGAGGGGGGCUGCUCCUAGUACGAGAGGACCGGAGUGGACGCAUCACUGGUGUUCGGGUUGUCAUGCCAAUGGCACUGCCCGGUAGCUAAAUGCGGAAGAGAUAAGUGCUGAAAGCAUCUAAGCACGAAACUUGCCCCGAGAUGAGUUCUCCCUGAGACUUUAAGUCUCCUGAAGGAACGUUAAAGACGAUGACGUUGAUAGGCCGGGUGUGUAAGCGCAGCGAUGCGUUGAGCUAACCGGUACUAAUGAACCGUGAGGCUUAACCUU